UACGUAGGGGGCAAGCGUUGUCCGGAUUUAUUGGGCGUAAAGAGCUCGUAGGCGGCUUGGCAAGUCGGGUGUGAAAACUUCAGGCUCAACCUGGAGCGGCCACUCGAUACUGCCAUGGCUUGAGUCCGGUAGGGGACCACGGAAUUCCUGGUGUAGCGGUGAAAUGCGCAGAUAUCAGGAGGAACACCAGUGGCGAAGGCGGUGGUCUGGGCCGGAACUGACGCUGAGGAGCGAAAGCGUGGGGAGCGAACAGG
rnacentral:rRNA from 1 species